AAACAUUACUCAUAUCUCACAGAGGUCUGGAGGAAGUUUGGUAUUCAGUCAUUUCCCAGUGAAAAUGGUUUAAGCAAUGUUUGAUACAUCGCUUAAAUUCAUAACUUUUGAAAGGACACUAUGGAUGAUCAUAGUCAAGUAGCUGAUGUGUGCGUGUAUGUGACAUUUGUGGUUUCUCUAAGGGGUGUGUAGAACUCAGUAAGUUUGGAUUUCUGCUUCAAACAUACACAGACUCAUUAAAGUGGUCUUAUCAUGGUGGCCUUGAAGAACUGACCUGGUUCAUCACUCACAUUUAUUACAACUCAAAACCUUCUGACUGUCUCUGUGUCGUCUGAAGCGUGUUUAUGUUUAAAAGGACAAAAAGGGAAAAACCAAAUAGUCCUUCAAAGCGAGCACUGAUCCCCAAACAUGCCACUCUGAUUUGCUAUGGCUUAAAUCAUGUUUUGUGAUGACUAGCUUUGAUUACCAUUACGGGCAUUUAAGGCUUGCUUCCUGGUCAGACGAUCUGGAGCGGUUCUGUUUCUCUCACAUGGAUUUAUUUUGGGAACAAUAGUUGUGGUCUAGCACACCUUCAGAGAAUUGGGUUGCUAGUGGACAGUUCAUUUUCGUUUAUGGUAAUCCACACAUGGCAAACUCGCAACUGGAAAGUGAUUUUAGGCAAAAACAAUAAGCUUAAAAAAGAAAGAAAACUUAAUGAUUUUUUCCUUUCAUGGUUGGUUAGUGAUUGUGCUUGGCCUUCCAUGUAGUCCAGUGUUAAAGCUAAACUCUUUUUUUUUUUUUUUUGUUUUUUUUUUGUUUUUUUUAUUUUGUUUUCUCUCUCUCUCUCUCUCUCUCUCUCUCUCUCUCUCUCUCUCUCUCUCUCUCUCUCUCUGAGGAAUGAAUGAAGUAGAAGUUGUUGUUCGAUUUGUUUUUUAGAACCAAAGUGCAAUACCCCCCCCACCCCAACAAUGGUAUAACUUUUUUUUUGUGUUUUAUUCCAUGAUAAUCAACACUAAAUAACCGACAAAUUUAUGUUCUGAAUGGUUUUGAACUUGUCUUUGUUCUUCCUUGGAGCUGAAUAAAUUUUUUCCAACCAAUAAUACAUUAGUGAUAUUUCAUUUGUACUUGUUUGUAAAAUGUUUAUAUUGUCUUUAACUUCCUUUCCUGACUAAUGAGGGAUAUGUUGCUAUUUCCCACACUAUCAACAUUUCUCAUCUACUCUUUCAGGAAUUCACAUACAGAAGUGCUAAUUAUGGUUAAAUUAACCUCUGAGCAAACACUUACACUCAGUCUUCCCACUCU
ensembl:lncRNA